GCACCUACCGAUUGAAUGGUUCGGUGAAAAUCUCGGACUGCGGCUUGGAUGCCUUCGGGCAACCAAGCUGUGGAAAGUUGUUUAAACCUCAUCAUUUAGAGGAAGGUGAAGUCGUAACAAGGUUUCUGUAGGUGAACCUGCAGAAGAUCA
rnacentral:misc_RNA from 1 species